rnacentral:sRNA from 1 species
AUUAUAAGAUGGCGAAGGAACCAGUUCGUG